GACAUAAACAAGACUUAUAUAGAACAGGCAGCAAGUCCACAUUUGCCAGUGUGAAAUAAUCAAAAUGUUCACUAUAUUUAUCAUGUUCAUAAAAUAUGGACUAACUUAUUUCUUUAUCUUCUUCAGGGCCUUACUGGCGGAAAUGAUGGUGGUUUACUAGGCAACCUUCUUGGAGGUGUA